UUUCUGUCAAGUUAUAACAACUGACAUAGGUAGUGAUGGAGCAGUAGGCAAUUGCAGUACGGGUUUCAUUCCACGAGGAGCUGACUUUUUGAGUUGCGAAACAUGAAACACAGGAUGGAUGCUCGAGUCUGCUGAUAACUUGAGCUUAUAAGUAAUAGCUCUCACCUUAUCUUUAAUGCAAAAAAGGACCAUAGUAGAGAGAAGAAAGCUUAUAAUUCACCUAAUGAAUCACACUUUAUUGCCUAUAGGGUUGUAGCUUCACAUUGACCUAAUGACCAAUGUUGAAUGUCGUUUCUAUGCGAUGGAAAUCAACUCGUUAUUUCAUACGAUUCUGAGCCUUAAGCAAGUGGUGCUUCAUAAUAUGUAGGUCCAACUCCCUAUCCUUUAAGCACUGAUCCAUAGUAGUAAUUGAAGAGUCCCUUGGAAAAUAGGGAAUAUACAAUGGUAGAGGAACUCCAUAUACAAUUUCAAGUGAAGUAGUCUCAGUUAUUGAGUGAUAGUUGGUAUGAUACCAUCAUUCAGCUCGGGGAAGCCAUUUCACCUACUGCUUGGGAUUCUCUUUAAUCAUACACCUCAUGUAUGACUCAAGACAUCUGUUGACAACCUCAGUUUGUCCAUCUGUCUGAGUCUGAUAGGCAGUGGACGUGCAUAAUUCUGCUUCUUGUAAUCUAAACGAUUCAUUGCAAAAUGAGAUGACAAAGAUAAGAUCUCUAUCACUGACAAUCGAAGAUGGUAGCCCAUGUACCUUGUAAAUGUUGUCUAAGAAGAGCUGAGCAACAUUAAAAGUUGUAUAAGGAUGGCUCAGGAAAUGGGUAUACUUACUAAGUCUGUCCACUACCACCAGAAUCACUUCUUUACCUCCUGAUUUAGGCAACCCUUCUAUAAAAUCCAUGCUGAUGUCAAACCAGAUGGUCUCAAAUAUUGGCAAAGGUUGUAAUAGUCCUGGAAUGCUAACAUUCUCAGGUUUGCAAGUGUUGUAAAGAUUGCAACUUUUUACAUAAUUUCUAAUAUAUUUUUCCAUGCCUUUCCAAUAAAAGAGUAAAUGUAACCUCUUAAAAGUGGCUUGCACCCCAAAAUGGCCACCAUCAGGUGAGUCAUGCAAGAGCUGCAGUAGCUUAUGUCUUAUUCUCACUUUUUAAGCUUUGAAUACAAGAAUUAAACGCUCAACUACCUAAAAAUUCACUUUCAAGCUUGAAUCUUUUAAUACAAAUAGUAAAGAUAAAAAUUUUGAGUUGUUGAGUGUAAAUGCACAGAUGGGGGCUCAAAGCAAAUGCUCUUGCUUGACCUAGAACCAUUAAAAAUGAUGUUUAAAUAGUUCUAGGUGAAAAAGAGUCGUUGCAUCCUCAUUAAAUGUGAAAAUAGUCGUUUCUACAACUGUCAUAAAUGCAGCUUCACGGGCGCGAACAAUCUUUCACGGCCAUAAAUCAUCAGUGUGAAAAGCAGAUUUUAAAAGCUGAAAACCGUAACGGCCGUGAGUUAUUUUUCACUGGCGUAAAAGUUACUUUCACGGCUUGGAAACAUUAGUCGCUAACUCUUCUAUGAUUAAUUGAGAAUCUGGAGAGUAGUUCAAUAUUUACGGGCGUGAACAUCUUCUUUACGGGCAUGAACAUCUUUUUCACGGCUUGAGAACCUUUCCCGCGAAUCAUUAUGUGAAAGUUUUAAGGAGGAGACCAUUUUUCACGGGAGUGGGUUAUUGUUCAAGGUUGGAAACUUUCUCCGUGAAUCCUUCUGUGAUGUCUUUUAUUCUUUAGGAGAAAAUCCUUUUUCAUGGCCAUGAAUAUUUCUUUUCGGCUGUGAAUUCUCACUUUUACGGCUAUGAAGCAUCCCGUGAAUGCUACUGUCCUUUUGCUACUCGAGGCGAGAAUUCUCCAUGCCUGAGAAACUAGUGUUUCACGGGCAUGAAUCUACCGUGUCCUAGACAAACCAAUUUUUCUUUCCUUGCAUAUAAACACUUAGACAUAGGAUUAGUCAUUCUCAAUUGUUUAUAACCAUCAAAAUAGAAUUAAUAACCCUCAAGGUUCAACAAAGUGGUUUCUUCUUAAUAGAGUUAUUUCUUCUUACACUGUUGCCCUGGUGUAAACUUCUCAUUACACCAAAAGCAUAGAUUCUUAGCUCGUUUCUCAUUCUUUUUUUGCAUUUGUCAACCUCUUGGUUCUUAGUUGAAAAGGUUUCAUGUGGUUUUUCUAUGGAGGUCUAGUUAUGGUGGCAGGAAAUGGUGAGUUGGUUGGCUUAAUGUGCAUGGUAGAAAUUGGUAACAAAGGAGGUAAAGUGGCUUUAUUUUGAGUUGAAAGCUGGAAAAUAGAUGGAGUGCUAGGGGUUUUAUUAUAGUAUGAUAUGUUGGUUGGGUAGCAAUGAGAUAGGACUCUUGCAUUUGAGCAACAACAUAGGCUUAUUGCAAGGUUUUGGGCCCAAACAUCCUCAAUGGAAUACGUACCUCAUCUCUCAAUCCACUGAGGAAGCAACUUAGAACAUACUCUUCAGAGAGAGUAACCUUAUGUGAGAGGACAUUAAAUUUCUCUAAGUACUCCUGCAAAGACCCUAUCUAAGUUAAAUCCUUUAGGUUUUCCAUGGGGUCUUUAUAGAUCCUUUCUCCAAAUUGACCGCUAAGAGCUUCAAUGUACUCCUCCUAUUGAGAUUCAUCUAUCUUAUUUUUGUUCUUCAAGUAUGAUUGAUGUCGUUGCCCUCCAUAUGGAUAGCAACAAGCUUAACCUUCGCAUUAGCGAGGGUAAAAUUAAUCUAGAAAAAAUGGUCAUAUCUGAACAACCAUCCUUCCAAAUUAGAACUAUCAAACUUAGGGUAUUAUGAUUGGAAAGAAUGAUUAUCUUUUCUCAUUCAAACAAGGAAUAUAAAUAUACAAGAUUCUAACGGCUAGUUACAACAGCUAUAAACAAUCAAGGCUAAAACUAAGGAAUGAAAAUGGUAAUAUAUAAGCUGUAAAUGGUAAUAGAAUAAUCAAAAGGAUAGACAAAUAUAUACACCUAAUACUCCCCCUCAAACUGGAGCAUGUAAGUUAAGGAUGCCCAGCUUAGUAUGAAGUUUAAGGAAUUGGUCUUUAUUUAAGGCUUUUGUAAAGAUAUCAGCAAUUUGAUCAUUAGUGGAGAUAGGAUGAAGUUUGAGUUGUCCUUUUUGAAGCUUUUCAUGAACGAUGUGGCAAUCGAUUUCAAUAUGUUUUGUUCGUUCGUGGAAAACUGAAUUUGCAGCAAUAUGACAAGCAGCCUGGUUAUCACAACAAAGCAUAGUGUUGGCUGAAAGGACAAUGCCAAGAUCCUGAAGUAAUGUGUGAAGCCAUACAAUUUCUCGAGUUUUCAUAGCCAUGGCACGAUAUUCAGCUUUAGUUGAGGAGUCAGAGACAGUUGAUUGUUUCUUACUUCGCCAUGAUAUAAGACUAGAGCCAAGAAAGAUGCAAAAUCCGGUAGUAGAGCGUCGUGUCAUGGGACAACUUGCCCAAUCAGAAUCACUAUAAGUUGUAAGAUGUAAAGAGCUGUUAGAAGAUAAAAGAAUCCCUUGACCCGGUAUUUUUUUGAGAUAUCGUAAUAGGCGAUGAGUAACAUCUAUGUGAGGUUUGCGAGGUUCAUGCAUAAAUUGACUUAAAACAUUGACCGUAAAGGUGAUGUUCGGCCUUGUAAUAGUAAGAUAUAUGAGUCGACCAAUAAGGCGUCUAUAGAGUGAUGGGUCUUCUAGUAGGUGACCAUCUUUGUUAUUAAGUUUGAGAUGUUGUUCCAUAGGAGUGUCGGCAAUAUGAGCACCGGUGAGGCCACAAUCAUGAAGUAAAUCAACCACAUAUUUCCUUUGGCUUAAAUAGAUGCCUAUUGGUGAGCGAGCAACUUCAAUUCCGAGAGAAUAUUUAAGGAGACCCAAAUCUUUAAUCCAAAACUGACUGAAGAGGAAAUGCUUAAGCUCAAUAAUUGCAUUAGAAUUAUUUCCUGUAAUAAUAAUGUCAUCAACAUAAACUAAAAUAAAAAGAGAUAAAGGCCCUUGUCUUAAGAUAAAAAGAGAGUGAUCAGCAUGAGAUUAAGAGAAGCCAAUAGAAAUUAAGGCAAUAGAAAAUUUAGCAAACCAGUUUUGAGGGGCUUGUUUGAGGCCAUAAAGAGAUCUGUUAAGUUUGCAAACAAUAUUUUUCUGCCCCUUACGUGGAUGUCCAGGAGGUAAUAACAUGUAUAUAUCUUCUUGUAAAUCACCAUGUAAAAAGGCAUUUUGAACAUCAAAUUGAUAUAAUGGCCAUCUUUUGAUCGCUGCUAUUGCCAAUAAGGUUCGAACUGUUACCAAUUUAGCAAUAGGGGCGAAAGUCUCAUGAUAAUCGAUGCCUUCAGUUUGAGUAUAUCAUUUAGCAACGAGGCGUGCUUUAUAGCGCUCUAUACUACCAUUAGAAUGUCUUUUGAUCUCGUAGACCCAUUUAUAACCAAUCGGUGUUUGGUUGAUUGGUAAAGGAACCAAAGACCAAGUAUUAGAAUGUUCCAAUGCUCGGAGCUCAAUUUCAUUAACUUUUGCCAUUCAGGUACUUGCACAGCUUGAGAGAAAGUAGUGGGUUCCAUAAUAGAAGAUAAAGAACUAAGAAAAGUGUAAUGAGAUUUUCAAAAUCUGUUAUAGGAAAGAAAAUUAUGUAAAGAAUAUUUGGUGUUCGAUGGAGGUGACUGGGCAUUAUAGCAGUAAUAAUCAUUAAAUUUUUUAGGUAGUAUUAUAGUUCUUCAUGGGCGACCAGUUCCAGUUUGCAUUGUAUGAGAAAUAGAAUCAACAAAAGAAAUAUUUUCGGGCUCUGUUAUGGAGCUAGAAUAAAAAAUGAUUGGUGAAAAAGAUUUAUUGGGUUGGGCAUCUGGUGGUGAUUGAAUUAUUAGAUAAGGAUUAAAAUCUUGGACUGCUACUGGUACAAUUGAAGUAUUAUUGGUAUCAAAUAUUUUAGAAGGAAAUGCACUUUCAUGAAAAACAACAUUAUGACUUACAUAAAUUCUUUGUGUUUGAAUAUCAAAAAUUUUAUAACCUUUUUGAGCAAAUGGAUAUCCAAUAAAUAUGCUAGGAAGAGCUCGACUGUCAAACUUAUGAUGACCAUUAGUAUUACGAGCAUAACAUAAACAACCAAAAAUGCGCAAAUGUUUAUAAGUGGGUAAUUUAUUAAGUAAUAACUCAUGUGGUGCUUUUCCAUGGAGCGUUUGUGAAGGAGUUUGAUUAAUUAAAUAAGCUGCAGUAAGGAUACACUCACCCCAAAAAUUUAAUGGUAAGUUAGCUUGAAACGAAGAGCAUGUGCAACAUUAAGCAAAUGACAAUGUUUGUGCUCCACCACCCCAUUUUAUUGAGGUGUGUGAGCACAACUAUGCUGAUGAAUAACACCAAGUGAAGCAAAAAAAGUAUUAAAAAAUUCAAGACUAUUAUCACUACGUACUUGCUUAAAAUAAACACCAAAUUGAGUAUUAACCAUUGAAAAAAAAUUUUGAAGAUAUGAAAAGGCCUGAGGUUUUUGCUACAUUAAAUAAACCCAUGUAGCACGAGAAAAAUUAUCUAUUAUAGUUAAAAAAUAUCGUGCACCAGUAAUUGUAGGUGUUGAGAAAGGUCCCCAAACAUCAAUAUGAACCAAAUCAAAAUAAGCAUUAUAUUUAGUAUUACUAUUAGAGAAAGGUAAACGACAUUGUUUAGAUAAAGGACAAUAGUGCAUGGAUUUUUAUUAGAAAAAGAAAUAUCAUAAUCUAAAUUUAAAAACAUAGGUAAAGUACUAGAACUUGGAUGACCAAGACGCCAAUGCCAUAGAUCCACAUGAUGAGGAACAGUAGCAAAAGAGGUAACAUGUGCAGGCUGAAUAUUGAGAUAAUAAAGACCAUUAUACUCUCUACCCAUUCCAAUCACUUUCUUCAUUUGUAGGUCCUAACAUACACGAUAGUUAGAGAAAAAUUGAACGACACAAUUUAGGUCCUUGGUAAUUUUCUUAACAGAUAGUAAAUUGAAUUUAAAAGAAGGAACACAUAAAACGUCUUUUAAUAUUAUAUCAUUUGUAAUAUUUCGUGAGCCAAUAUGUGAUAUUGACACUUUUUCACCAUUCGGUAAUGUUAUAGGUAAACCCUUACGAGUUUUUAUAUCAUUUAAAGUGUUCAAAUCAUAGGUCAAUAUGAUCUAUACAUCCAAAAUCUAUAACCCAAUUAUCAUAUUUGGAGGGUAAAUUUAAAGUCAUACCAGCGAAGUUGACAAGAGGAGUAGCAGCACUUGGCUGGAUUAGAGCAAGAAGUUGUUGAAUUUGGUAUUGGGUAAAUGGUAGGACUGAUCCACUUGUGGUGGUUUCAACGGCAGCAGUAUCACGUUUUGUGUGAUUUCCGCCUUGACGAAAAUUUGGAUUUCUUGGUUUCUUGCGGCACCUUGAUUCUGAAUGGCCAUCGAAUCCACAAUAAUCACAGUGAUAUUAGACUCCAUCUUGACGAAAAUUUGGAUUCCUAGGUUUCUUACGGCAUUGUGAUUCGAAAUGGCCAUCGAGUCCACAGUAAUCACAAUGGUAUUUCGGUUUUCCACGUGAUUUAUUUUGAAAGACAGCCAAGGCUGAUUGAUCUUGAUGAACAAUAGGAUUGAUUAUGAGGAUUGAUCUUUGUCUUUCUUCCUGCAAUAAAAGAAAGUAAGCUCUAGAAAUAAGAGGUAGUGGAUUCAUGAGGAGAAUUUGACUUCGAACAUUAUUAUAUGAUUCAUUAAGACCCAUAAGAAAUUGAAUUAGACGGUCUCUUUGUUAGAGUUUAUUGGUCUCUUGACCAUUCCCACCUGUACAUGUAGGAUAAUUAUUGUAGGUAGAGAGCUCAUCCCACAAUCCCUUAAGGGUUGUCUAAUAUGCAGCAAUUGAGUCAUUCAUUUGCGUAUGGUUAACAAUGGUCCGUUGAAUUUCAAAUAUGCGUGGUGCAUUUUCUUAAGAGAAUUUGUCAUGAAGAUCAUUCCGAACUUCACUAGUUGUCUUCAUGUAAAUGACACUGUUGGCUAUGUCUCUUGUUACAGCAUUAAAAAGCCAUGAAAGAACCAUGUUGUUACAGCGGUUCCAAUAAGAAAAGAUAUGAGAGUUUUGAGCUAGUUUGUUAAUGGUUCCAUUAACAAAACCAAGUUUAUUCUUGGCUUCAAGAGCCAUAGUAAUUGCACGACUCCAUGUAGAGUAGUUAUCACCAUUCAAUUGUUGGGUGAUUUGUAUGGUUCCUGGAUUAUCUGAAUGAUGUAUGAAAUAUGGAGAUGAAAAAUCAGAUUCUGUUAUGGAUGUAGAACUAUUGGAAAUAAAUGAACUGAUAGAAUCAUUUGUCUCCAUUGUUGGAGGCUCCAAUACCAUAUUAUGAUUGGAGAGAAUAAUUAUCUUUUCUCAUUUAAACAAGGAAUAUAAAUGUAAAAAAUUCUAACGGCUAGUUACAACAGCUAUAAACAAUCAAGGCUAAAACUAAGAAAUGAAAAUGAUAAUAUACAAAUUGUAAAUGGUAAUAAAAUAAUUAAAGGGAUAGACAAAUAUAUACAGCUAAUAUAGGGAUGGGGAACCCAGUAGCUGGUUGGUAGCUACUGUUCUGGUUACUAAGGUUGCUUUGGCUCAAAUCAACAAAGGGGUGUGAUGGGUUGGAGGAGGAGUCAUGAUUAGCAGUUCCACCAGGGGAAGAAGAGGUGGACAUUGGGUUUUCUAGAUUCAUGGUUAAUAAGAAGUUCUUAAGCUCACUUAACAUAGCUUUUUGCUGCUUAUUCAUCAUCUUUGCAAGGGAUUGCUCUUACUGCUUGUUAUGCUCAAGCAGCAUCCCCUUCACCAUGUUACAAAUGUUUUCCUCAAGUUUUUUCAUCUUUGUGAUCGUGUAUUGUCUGCAGCAGACAUGGUGAAUGAUUUUUCGAUUUAUUGGGAGCAAGGGAGUGAAUGAAUGGAGUAGGAUCAAAACUGCUCUAGUGCCAAAUGGUGCCUUAGAAAUUAGAGAAGAACCGGAGAAAGAAAUCGAGAGAAGUAAAGAGAGAAAACUAGAGAGAAAAAAGAAAUUCGCAUUAACAUACUUCAUACACAUUGAUGGAUAGGAACCUGCAAUAUACUGCAGGCACGAUCCCAAAGCCAGCCCAUCAUUAUUGGUAUAAUAGAAUUGUAACGGGAACAAAAAGAAUAACAAAUAAUGCUAACAACCCUACACGUGUUUCCUAGUGCUACAACUAGACAACUAAUUUUACUAAACAACAAUGAGCUUAAUUACCAAGUAUCACCGAUCUAUUAUUUUUUAGAUGUAGUUAUUAUUAUUUUGAUUAUAAAAUAAAUUUAAUAAAUAUAAUUUAAUAAAAUUUUUAAUAUUUAAUAUUAUUUUAUAAAGUUUUAAAAAAUAAUAGUAAACUAAUUAUUUUUUAAUUUUUUUAAUUUUUUUGUAUUAAUAAUAAUAAAUAUUAAAAUUAUUUUAAAAUUAAUUUAUUAAUUAAUUUUUAAUAUUAUGUAAUUUAACAUAUCAAUAUAAUUGAUAUCACUAUUUUUUAAAAUUAAAAAUUUAUUAUAUAAUUAAAUAUAAUAUUAAAAAUAUUAUUUUUUAGUAUUAGAAUUAUUUUUUAAUUAUAAAAUUAAUUUAUUAAUUAAUGUAAUAUUAAAAUAUAACUAAUAUACUACUUUUUAGAAUAGAAUUUUUAUUAUUAUCUCAUUAGAAAACUAUUUAUUAGUUAAUGUAAUAUUAGAAUAUAAUUAAUAUGCUAGUUUUUAAGAUUCGAGUCGGUGGUUAAUUAAGAAUAUAAAUUAUGAAUCAAUAAUUUAAUAAAAAAUUAUAAAAUAAAUAUAAACUUGAAUCUCAUGUUUGAACGCAAGUAAAAAUGUCAAAAUAAAAAUUUUAUGUAUCAAAAAUUUAAGUAUACAUGUCAAAAAAAAUUUAAGUAUCAAGAAUUAAUAUAUAUAUAUAUAUAUAUAUAUAUAUAUAUAUAUAUAUAUAUAUAUAUAUAUAUAUAUAUAUAUAUAUAUAUUAUUCAAUAUUAAUAUUAAUAAAAUNNNAAAAAUAUUAUUUAAGAUAUUAUUUUUUUAGAAUUACAAUCAUCUAUCUACAAAAAUAAUUUAUGAGCUAAUAUAAUAUUAAAAUAUAAUUAAUGUACUAUUUAUUUGUAUAGAAUUAAUAUAAUUAUUUGAUUAGAAAACUAUUUAUUAAUUAAUAUAAUAGAAAAAUAUAAUUAAUAUGUUAUUUCUUAGAAUAUUAGAGUAAAUGUUUAAUUAGGAAUGUAACUUAUGAAUAAAUAAAUUAAUAGAAAAAUUAUGAAAUUACAUAUAAAUCUGAAUCCUAUGUGUCAAAAGUAAGUACAUAUGUCAAAAUAAAACUUGUGUAUUAAAAGCAUAAAAAAUUAAUAUAUACUAGUUGUUUACCCGUGCGUUGCACGACCGUUAUUAUUAUUUUAAUUAUAAAAUUAAGUUUAUAGGUAAAUUUAAUAAUUUUUUUAUUUUUAAUAAUAUUUUAAAAAAUAAUAGCAAAUUACCUAUUUUUAAAUAUUUUAAUUCUUUUAAAAUUUUAUUAUAAUUUCUAAUUUAAAGUAUUUAUUUAUUUAAUCUAAUAUUAUAUAAAUUAAUAAUAUCAAUAUAAUUAAUAUUACUAUUUUUUAAAAUUAAUAAUUAUUAUAUAAUUAAUAAUUAAUUUAUCAAUGAAUAUAAUAUUUAAAAUAUUAUAAUCAUUAUCUAAUUAGAAAACUAAUUUACUAGUUAAUAUAAUAUUAAAUUAUAAUUAAUAUAUUAUUUUUAAAAUAAUUAUUAUCUAAUUAGAAAAUUAAUUAUUUUUUAAUUAAAAAAUUAAUUUAUUAUUAAUAUAUUAUUAAUAUAUUAUUUCUUAGAAUUAGAAUAAGUGUUUAACUAGAAGUGUAACUUAUUAGUUAAGAAGUUAAUAAGAAAAUUACAAAAUUACACAAAAACGUAAAUUUCAUGUUUCAAAAGUAAUUACACAUGUCAAGACAAUAAUUUUAUGUGUUAAAAAUUAAUGCAUAUAUAAAAUAAAUUUAAAUCUCAGAAAUAUAUAUAAUAAAUAGUUAUUGGUUUGAAAUUAGAUAGAAUUAUGAGAAUAUGUAAAAUUCUAAGUUGAUAAUGCCAAACAAGUAACAUCCAAUUCAUAAAUUGAAGGCAUUGAAUAAGAAGUGAAGUAGUCAAAUGAAUCAUCAGAUUUAUUGGUUUUCUUCAAUAGUCAAGCGUCUUAUAGAUCUCUGACAUAUUACAAAAAAAUAUAUAUAUGUGAAAGAAGAAAAAAAUAAGGGUAAUCUGACAACCUGAGAAAGGUUAUCCUCAUCCUCACAUAUUACAAAUUCACAACAGCUGAAAUGAGCAUGCGCCUAAAACCGACUCCUGACCCAAAACGAAUGAUAUUGCAAACAAUAGUGCGACGGAAACACAUCCAGGCAACAUUUCAGUUUCAAACAGAUUACAACUAUCGAUCAAAAUCACAUCUUUCCACCGCAUAUCAGACUAAUAAGCGUGUGCUCAACUGUAACUCUCUGGUUUUGCUAUGACAUCUCUUCUACCUCAAAAAGACGUCUGGUAUUCAAUACACUUCCAUAUAACAAACUAGCUCAUUAUCAUCGAUAGCCACCGCCGUAAGGCUGUUGAGUGUAACCACCUGUGCCCAUCAUUGGAUUAUAACCCCCAGGCAUGGUUGAACCAGGAGGUUGCAUUUGGCCACCCUGCCCCAUCCCCACAUUCAUCCCCAUGUUCAUCCCCAUCCCCAUCCCCAUUUGCAUCGCCAUGGGUUGAUUCAUGCCUCCAUACCCUCCCAUGGCCAUACCUGAACCAGGACCUCCUCCCAUCCCCAUUCCCAUAUUAUUCAUGCCUGCCCCCAUUCCCAUGCCAGAAUUCAUCAUAGGAUUUGGAGGAACCCUAAGACCACUUGCACCUGCUCGGCCUAUCCCUGAACCAGAUCCCAUAGCUUUACCCAUGUUGAUGGUUGAUGUGGCGGGAGCUGUUGUUGGUUUUUCCAUUCUCUUUUCCUUGCGAUUAAUGGCAUCAAAAUCUAUUCCAAUGUCCGACAAUGGAUUGAUUUUAGCUGCACAUAUGAAGCCCAUGAUGUUAAAUCUCUCAAGCAAGACAAAUUAAUAAUUAACUAAAGACCUUCAAAAACACAGUAUUGAAAUAAAAGACUGUCAAGUACUCACGUCCAGAGAUAUUCAAAUUGACUAGCCCUCUGCUCAGUGUAUCCGCCCAAACUGUCGACUUCGUCUCAAAUUUUUCUUUAGAUGGUUGUGGAACUAGAGCCAGUGGUCCUGCUGAAGAUGGAAUACCUGGCUGAGAAGUCGAGGAAGUUUUUGGUCCUUGUGUAAAUAGGUUACCCAGGACAUCAUUAUUAGGCUGAGUAGCAGAUCCAGUUGGGGUUUGAUAGCCAACUUGUGGAACUGGGGCAACAGAGCCCUGUUGUGGCAUGAAAUUUCCAUUGUUAAAAUGUGGAGUUGGUGCAGUUGCAAAAUGGUGAGCAGCUUGCAUGACCACUGGGGCAGUUGAUCCCUGCUGUGGGAGAAAGCUACCAUUGCUGAACUGCGGAUUUGGUCCUGUUGCAGUAUACUGUGCAGCCGGAACAGAGCCCUGAGUUGGGAGGAAGUUUGCGCCGUGAAACUGUGAAGCUGGGGCUGCAGAAACUUGUUGUGGAAGUAAGUUUCCAUUGUUAAAUUGUGUUCCGGGUCCAGCUGGAGUUUGUGGAGCCACAGCUGAAGAGAUAGGAGCUGUAGAUCCUCCAUGUGGGAGAAAGUUUCCACUGCUAAACUGUGCUGUCUGAGGGCCCAUAUUUGGAGAUACUGGUGCAACAGAUCCUGCCUGCAAAUUGUAGUUUCCAUAAAUAUUGGCUCCUGGCUCUGCCGGUUGACCAGCCAGAGCUGGAAAACCAGCUUGUGUAGCUACUACAGGUGAAGGCCCAGUUGUUGGGAGGAUGUCUGCCAGAAUAUCAGUUUCAUCGUGUGAGGUUGACAGUUCUUGUGGUAAAAACUGUGAAUUUGCUGAGGUUGGUUGGGCAUUAGGUGCUGAAUAAGUCAAGCCAGAGAAUGUGUCCCCAAAGCCAAAAUUAUUCACCGUGUCUUGUGGCACUGUGGGGGGGAUUUCAGCACUUUGACUGAGGGUAGGCUGAAGAGCAGCUCCAGAGGUAGAAGUAUGCUGUUGAGCUGACAUAGUACCGCUGGUGGAAGGAAUAGCCUUGAAAGGAGAGUCACCAAAUGGAUCUUCAAAAGGCUGCACCAAGAUAAUACUUCCAUUUUAACUGGUUCUAAUACACCAAAAUAAUCUUCUCAUGACAAAAAUAUGCAAAGUCAAAUUGGGAGGCAGAAUAGUGUUUCUCUGCUUUCUUUAGAUCAACAAAUAAAAAACCAGUAAAGGACAGAUAUAACAUGAAGACGAUAUGCAAGCAAGAUGGAUAUCAUCCUUAGUUAUUAUAAUGAGCCAAUCAAAAAGCAUAACAGCUGCAUCUAACCCUCACAAUAACAUAAUAGCACAUUAUUUGCACCUCAUAGAAAUGAAUAACAUCUCAAACUACCUAAAAAAUAAGUAUGACAUGUUGAAACCAUUAGCUCUCGUGAUGAGUCAAUGUCCAAUUUCAAUUGGCACUCAAAAAUACAGCAAAAUCUUCAAAACCUUGAAGUUGACACUUGAUGGAUCGAAUGAGACCCUACUGACCACCCAUAAACGGAUCUAACAUAUACAAAUAAGAAAAACAAAUAAUCUCAGGGCCCCUCAGGCCCUACUCACAUAAAUUUCAUCUAAGGUUAAAGAUAUAUAAAGAUGGAUUUUAAAUAUUAGCAUAUAAGCUUACCAUAUUCAUAACACUAGAUGGAGGCUGCGUUGCAGAAAAUGUGGAUCCAGGAAAGUUUGUCUGAGUGUCAACUUCAGAGGUGGCCACAGCGGAGACUGGCAUGAUGGCCAAUGGAUUUGCAGCAAAUGAAUCUGAUAGAGAGCCAAGUAAAUCCAUUUCAGCAUUGCUCGAGACAGUAGCAGCAGCAGAGGCAGCUGCAGUGGUGGGGCUAGCUGUGAAAAGAGAUUGAUAAAUAUGAAUUUCCAGUUGAGGUAGAUGUUUAUUACAAGAGCAUCAGCUACAAAGGCCCAUUUAGCUUCUUAAACUCUUUUUUUAAUAGAAAAGCAUCAAACACCACCUUAUCAUAACACUUAACACUCCACUGCAGUUGCUCAAAUCAGUACUUUCCUUCCAAUCCCCAACCAGCCAACCCAAACCCUGGCCAGAGGGUCUAUAAUAAUCAUGAAAACAAUAAUCAGGACAAUCAGACUUAAGGGCCAGUUUGGCAUUGUUGCAAGGGCACUCUGCUUUUGAUAUCUUUUAUUUAUUCUCUCUGGUUUUUGGAACCUACUUUUGGAAAAUUCAUGUUUACUUUGCUGCUUCUAGAAGUUGGAUUUCAAGAAAACCUACUACUGAGGCAAAAAGAACCUUGGCACAUGUGAGCUUUACAGAGGAAUAAUACAAGCCCCCCACUACUGUAGAAAGCAUGUAGCUUGGGAAUUUACAAACCAUUAGAGUCUUAAGUAAUUUUAUAUACAUUUUGGGCAAAGAUGGAAGAACUGGUCUUCAAAAACUGACAUGAAGGGAUGGCUUUGUAACAGCUUGGUUAUGAAGCUGUAAUAUUGAACUUACAUUGAACUACUAAAGACCAUUCUACAGUCAAUUAUCUAACGAGAUUUUUCUUUCUCAAUAUAGAAAAAUGUUGGAUGGUAAAACAGAAAAAAAGUUGUCUCAGUUUCUUAGAGGGUAAAAAUGCACAAAUGAUCUCUAAAUUUUGAGAGCAGUUGCAUCUCAGUUACUAAACUUCAAUUACUUGCAACUUCAUCCACAAUGUAAUCAUCAUGGUCAAAGUGACCAAAACUCAAGUAACAGCGAAUGACGAUCAACUUGAGUGAGCAACCUCACCAGAAAUGGUAAGGUCCAAUUCCUAGGCAGGUUAAAAACUUCAGGUUUUCAAGUAAGGUUAGUCACCAAACUGCUAGCAAAUUUAGCCUUGAUGACUACAUAGCAGCAAACAAACUUCAACUAUUUAAAAAUUGGAAGGAACCCAAAAUGGAGGACAAGGUGAAAUUACAUCCAAAGUUUAAUGGCCAGUUACUCAAAUACACAAAACUGUCAUAAUCGUAUAUGCAUUUGGUAAAGAAUGUAGGACUCCUUGCAAUUUCCCACAUUAGUGUUAGACACAACUCAUGUCACAAUAAAUCCAAUAUCCAAUGUCCUGGCCAAAAUUAGAGCACCACAGGCACUUAAGCCAUUUGAUAGGUUUGAUUCCACCAGGGCCAACAUACAGACAUGAUAGCACUCAACAUGUGCAUGAAAGACCACAAUACAUCUAUGCUUAGCAUUCCAUCUAAUAGUAUAAGUAAUUCAGCAAAAUGGUAAAAUAUUUCUCAUGAACAGAGAGAGGCAAAACCCUUAACUGCACAUUACAAUCUAACAUUAAGGUUGAGGCAUUAAUAUAUAUCAUGCUCUGAUGAUUUUCACAAUCAGUUCUAAGAAUUAAAAUUUAUGACCAACAUGGACACUCCAUUACAAAUGAAUAAGGGUGUUUGGGGAUUGUCAUUGGGUGUUGAAAAAGCUAGUUAGAAUUUUUUUUUAAUUUAAUAUAUUAAUUUUUUAGAAAAUUUUCUAAACUGCUUUUCUCAAACCUGCUUUUGGGGAAAUCAUCAAUUACUUGCUUUUUGCAUAAGCAACCUUCAAACUUAAAAAAUAAAAUAAUAUAAAAAUUGAGGUUGCCAAACACACCCUAAGAUUUUGAUGAUGAUAAGCAAUGAGACGUAAUCACAAAUAAUAAUAUAAGACAUUAAAAAUUGGCAUUAGCAUUCAAAGCACAAUUCAUGAGUAUUUUGUACCUGAACCAGGACAACGAGGAUCAAAUUCAUCAGCCACCUCAACUUCCUCGCCUGCAGAAGACAUAGUUGUACCAAAACCAGUGGCUGCUUGACUUGGAAUAUUGCUUGCAGCUGGAGAGGCAGCUCUAGGAGCAGGCGGAGAAGAUACUCCAGGAACAGAUGCUGCUGAAGUUUCUCCAUUCCUUUCACGAAGAAGUUUGUUCAAAUCAAUCAAAUGAGCAUGAAGAGAGUAAAAUCUUGAUGCAUUUCCAUGGUAAAAGAUUGAAUACCUUUCACUGUGAGCAGGACUUCGGGACUCACUCACAGCUUCUUCAUAACUAGGUGGAGCAAUAUUUUGUUCAGAAAAUUUUCGCUCAAGCCUCCUGGCAAUGCUAUGAUAUAAUUAAUUUAGUCUGACACUAUUGAAAUUAUACAAUAACGCCAGCAAAUUUUUAGCUCAUCCAGCAUAAUUUUACCUUCCAUCCUGAGAUUGAUCAUCAGCUUUAGCACCACUACCGCUGCAGAAUAAUGGAGCAAAAAUAAGCUAUUUCAAGCAAUGGUACAAUGAUGAUAUAUUCAGCACGCUUUUUAAAUUUACAAGAGAGAUCAUAAGAGCACGAGGAAACAUAUCAGCUACUUUAGACAUCCCAUUAACACAUCAGCAUACCCUGAUCAAAGUAGUUCCUCAUAAUAAGACCAUUCCACUGGGACCUCUUCAUUUUGUCAUAAUACCUGAACCUCCCAAGUUUGUUGAAUCCAACACCAUGGCUGUAUUUCAUUUUAUGUUAUAGUCAUUAAUUCAUGAUCUUCUAGUAACCUUCCUUAAUAAUAGACGUGUUUAAGCUUUCAAAUGAGCAACCAAAAAGGCUUUAUAACAUAUUCAUAUUUGUCAUGGACAAACCUUCAUAUCAUUUAAAUACAUGCAUUAACAUCACACAGAAUCACUAAAAUAAAUUAUCAAUUUCCAUAAUUCAGCAUCUAUUAAACACAAGUAACUGUCUUCAAUUUAACUUUUCUCCAUCUGGACUCUAAAAGGACAGAGAUGCACAUUGUCAAUUAAUGAAUUCGCAGUUUCUCCUUUACUUGAGGUUUCAUAUGUACUUGCUCAAAGAAAAAAAAGCGAAAUCUCAAAAUAGGACAUUUAUACUGUCCUAAAUAGCUGCUAUCUGAAUAAAAACAGCAAUAGGUAAUGAUAUAUGUUCUCAGAAUUUUGAAAGCUCACUACAAUCAAAUAGUUAACUACAGAAAAUAGAUACCAUACCGAGAUGAGGAUUGACCGUCGUCAUCAGCCCCUCUAUCAGAACUCCUGCUUCGUGAACCAUAAUCAUCAAUGCUUCGACUUCUUCCUUGGUAGUCAUCAUCUCUGUAGCCAUCUCUGCUGUAGCGCUCUUCAUUAUCUCUUCCAUACCGAUCUCCAUCACGACUAUAAGAGUCUCCAUAUUUACCAUAUCGAUCAUCGUCCCUAUAGUUGUAAUCUCGUUCUCUCCCAUAGCCAUAGCCAUUUCUAUCUUCAUCCCUGCUUCCAUAGCGACCUUCAUAACGUUCAUCAUCAUAUCUGUCACCAUAUGAACCAGGUUUGUACAUUCCACCAGCUGACGUAUUGCGAAACCUACCAAAAAUUCACCAGUCAUAACCUAAAGUUUGAAAUGUUGUAUUUCUAUUCACUUGUGUUAUUUUUGGUCCAUAGCAGAAAACAUGUCAUAAACACACCAAGAUGAAAUGAGAAUCAUAUUGCAAAUGCCAUACAGUGAAAAAUUAGGAGAACUCUGGUGGCAAACUGGCAAUGCAACACAAAAAGGAGGUUUUAAAAGCCACAGUAACAUAUACAUACAGAUAAACAUUAUACUUUUUAGACAAUUUGGUUCAAGCACAACUCACUUUUCUCGAUUAGCAGCUGCCUUUUGUCUAACUUCAAUUAUCCUUUCUUUAUCAUUUACCAGGACCACAAGACUCUGGGAUUUCUUUCUGACAUUGCUACCCUGGUCUCUUCCACUGGAAUCAAUAUAUUGGAAAUCUGACAAGGUCUAUAAUGCAGGAGAAGAAAAAAAUUAAUUUAUUACAGGUGAUCCAACAGUUGUUGCACACACAAAUAAAGCGAUAUAAUUCUAAAAAUUGGAAUUAGAGAGCAGAAAAAUUACCGAGAUUUGAUAUGCAUGCUCCCUUAUCUCAUCUAUGACACGCUCUGAUCCAUUGGCAACCAGGUAUUCCAGAACAGUCAAACCCUGAAGCCAGGCACAAGUAGUCAGUCAGCUGUUACAAUGCAAUGCAAAAAAGAAAAGUGACAUAUGCCAAUUGUAUAUGAUAACAGUACUGAGUAAUAUAACAUUGUCCAUCAUGAAUGUCAAAAGCUACUUUCAUAACUAAUAAUGGGUCGCCUGAAGCCUGAAGGGUAUUAUAUAACAGUUACACUAUAUGCAUUUUUGUAGAAGACUAAAAACGACAAGCAUAUGCCAAAGCAAAAAAGAAGAAAAUACAUAGAAAAUAAUACAGACCUUGUAGACAUGCCGCCAGUUCUUGCCAGUGUCAUUUAUCCUCUUCCAGAUUACUGCCAUGAUCAUCUGGUAUUCAUGACUGCAUCGAAAAUUAAAGAAUUAGUCUCUUUGUAGUAAAAUACAUAAUAGAGCAUCUAUGAAGUAAUUAAUCCAUCUUACUAAUUUCUGGUAGCCUGUGCAAUAUCUGCUAGGAGAGUUCCAUGAGGACCCCAGGGCUCAUUACUGGUCGCAUCAAGAACCUGAAAGGAAAAGGGAACAAGAAAAGUAUUUUGUAAGAGCUCUUGCAUGGAAAGACAGGUCACAUUUGUAAAUAAGCUAAACUCCAUUUUGCAAACAAGGAUAGAUUUAUCAUUCUCAAUUACAAAGGUUUAUACAAAACAAGAAAACACUUUACCUUCUGUUCUAUACCAGGAACUUUAAGCACUUUUUUAUUAACUUCUCUCUUACUGCAAUUAAACAGUAAAGAGAAAACAAUUAGCCAAAUUAGUAAUUUUCCAGAAUGCAUAAAUUAGUAUGACAUAGCUGUUAAAAAAACCAAAGUGAAACUAGUCCCAAGUCUUGUAAAGUUUGAUAUCAGUAGGAAUUUGUGCAACACACCCUAAUUUUUUUAUCAAACAGCAAAUGUAAGUUAUUAACCACCCAGAAACUAAUUACUGGAACUAUGUGCCAUACUUACAUGUCCCUAACAGUUUGAUCAAACACCUUCUUCAUUGUCACAAGAAGUGAUCUACACUGGCAAUGCCAAUCACUAUCAAGAGACCCCUUUUAUGCACUGAUCAAAAGCAAGGUAACAGUUAGAUCUUCACAAUAAGAACAAAUUUCCAAAAUUAUACAUCAUAGUAAGUGAAAUGAAUACAACGUAAACAAAUCAGAAGGGAAAAGAAAAAUAUUAUUUCCAAGGACAAAUUUUGAUCAACUUUAAUAUAAGAUUUGGUUAGCCCUCCAACAGGUAUACUAUAUAAUAGAAUCAACCACAUAAUACUUCCAAGCAAUAAAGUUCUCAGAUAACAAUGAAACUGAAUAAAAAUCCUAAUAAACUGAAUUCACACCUAAAUUUCAGCAUCACAUGGAUUUAAGUCAUAGCAAAAAUUAAUGAAAAAGAACAAGAUUUAAUCUUUUAAAGUUUACAUGUAAAAACAAUCUCUUUCUCUUUUACCAAGAUGAAUCGUACACCUGAAAAAAUUUUGAACUAUUAUUUUGUUACACUAUCAAAUGCAUCUCACAUUACAGCUAAAUCCAUUAAGUCAACAUAAGAUCCGUUUAGAGAAAACCAAAACCCACCGACCUAUAUCAAAAGCAUAAUCUAAGCCCUAACUUAGAAUCAAAAAUUCAGGUAAACCUGGAGCUGGGUUUCUGUCUUUGUAGCCCCAAACUAAAAAGAAAAAAAAAAUAACUACGACAAUAAUAAUAAUAAAGCUGAAAUAAACGAAACAUAGAGAUAAGGUAAAUGAAAAAUACACUUGAAAUAAGAAAAAUAGAAACACGAACCCAGAUCAGAUCUGACGGUGACAAAACGAGAUCAGAGAAAAGGAAAAGAAAAAAAAAAACCCAGAUCUGGAGAUGGCAAAUAGCUCGAUCCGGUGGCAGCAGCCUCUCUCUGUUUCAGAGAGAAAGAGGGAGAGAGAACACAAAAAUAGAAUUUUUAUUUUUCAAGGAAGGAAAAGCGCAAAGCGCGUAAUUGCUACUUACUAAAAUAUGCCUCUUCUUCUUCCUCUUCUUCUUCUUCUUAUUAUUAUUAUUAUUAUAUAAUUAAAACAGAUUACAAAUAUAAUUAAACAAAAACUAAUACCAAAAGAACAGAGAGAGAGAGAGAGAGAGAGGUGUUGGCGUUGUUAUUAAUGUCGUUGGUGUUGGAGUUGUAACGUAGCUGUUGAUGUUGAUGUUGUUGUUGUUUGGUGUUAUUAUUGUUGGGUUGGGUUGGGUUUGGGUUUGGUUCUUUUUUUUUUUUUUUCAACUGUCUUAUUAUGCUUCUCCAAUUUUCAAUAAUUUGAGAAUUGUUUUUUCUUAAAUUAAUAAAAUUUGAAAAGAGAAAAAGACAGCCCAGGUAACUCGCAGAUAAUUGAGGGUAAUUAUUUAAUUCCUUUUGUGUUUUUCGGAUGAAUUUUUAAUUAUUUAAUUACAGUAACUUUUUUUUUUUACACGCAGUUAUUAUUUCUCAUAAGUCAUAGCAAUGGAUAGAAUUUAGUUGAUUAACUCAAUUGGAUUAAGUUAUGACCAUUGACAAUUUCAAUCAAAUAGCACUUUGUUAUUGAGAAGUUACAGCAAGAGUCUAACUUGAAUUUGAAUUUGAAUUUGGGUUAAUGUUUUACAUGUAUAUAUUAAAUAAUGAGUAUAAUAAUAAUAUAUACUGAUUAAAUUUUAUAAGUUGAUAUAGUUUUAAAUUGAAAAUUAAAUGUAUGCAGUAUUUAUAGAUUAAAAAUUUAUCAUAAUAAUUUAUUAAAUUUACCAUUUUAACAUUCGAAUUUGACAUAACUUAUUAAGAUCGAAAUAAAUUUUUAAUAUUUAAUAAUUUAGUUCAUAUAAUUUAGACAUAUAUAUUUAGAUUGAUGUGUUAAAUUUAAAAUGAAAUUGCAUUAUAUAAGUAGUUAUCUUUAAGAAAUAUAUUAAAUUCUUCUGUAAUAAUUUCAUAAAUUUUAUUCAUUUUAAAAGAUAUUAUAGUUUUUCAAUGGUUAGACUAAGUUAGUUAGAUAAAAUUGAUCCCAAAUUCAGAUAAUUUAAAAUCAAGUGUGAGACAUAGUUAAUUCUUUUAUAAUAAUAUUUUCAUGGUACAUUUAUAUUGUCGGUCAAAUAAGAAAUUAUCCCCACAUGCAGUUUUAGAAAAAUAAAAUGAAAAUUGCCACAUUUAGAUCUAAAUGGUUAUUAAAAUCAAACUCAUGAAAGCCUGUUUCGUUUUUUAAUAUGAUUUUGCUGAUAGUGCCUUUUUAUCUUUUUGCGGUUGUAAUAAUAACAUAGGGGAGGUGGAAAGUUGUUUUAUUCCAUGUUUGGUAAUCAUUUAAAUUCAAUUCUUACCCACCAUUUUUCUUUUCUUUUUCUUCAUAUAUUAUAUGGUGGUCUACACCCAAACAAUUUGAAAGCCAUCAAUCUAUUUACAUUAUGAAUAUGAGUCACCCUUUUUAUGAAAUUUAAAUAAAUAAAUAAAUUGAAAUAAAAAAAAAUAGGCUAUAUAACAUAUGACCAUAUAAAUAUGAUAAACUUUUACUAGCGAUGAAGAUAUUCAUAAAAUAAAAUAAUUCUGUAAAUUCGAAUUUAAAUAAAAAUAUUAAUAAAAUAAAAUAAAGUAUAAUAAAUUGUCCAAUGUCUAGCUUGAUUAUAUUAAUACAUUAUUGUUGUGAUAUAGUAAGUAAAUACUUCUCUUGUUGCACCCAUUAUUCAUUGGAAUCUCCAUUAGUUGUCAAAGGAUUGGCAACUUUUCUAGUGCUAUUGCUUUUACUUUUCAUUGUGUUUGUUUUCUUUAUUCUUCUUGGCUUCUAGAUUUAUAUAUUUUACUUGUCACAAGCACAUUAGCCAGAUUGUGGACCAAUCCCAUAGAUGCUGGAGAGGAAGCACACAGAAUUUCAUUAAAAAUUAAAUAAAUUGUAUAUAUAGUCUUGAUGGGCAAAAUAAUUAGGCCAAAUACCUUAUAAUAAGAUGUGAGGUUAAAAUUUUAAAUAAUUGUAAUUAUAUUUCUUGGCAAAUUAAUGCCCUGUAACAUAAACAACCUUCAAUUGUUUGAUGCUCAAUGCAUUAAAUUGAAAUUAUUAUUUUUUCUUAUUAAAAAAUAAUAAUCUCUGUAUUAAAUAAAUUUUUAUAUUUAUAGGGAGUAUAAAAAUAUGAAUAUUUUUAUUGUACAAUAGACCCAUUUAUCCUCAUGAAUUAAAAAAAAUAAAUAAAUUAGCAUAAGAAGAGUCAUAGGAUUGUUCCAGUUGAAUUUGACCAUGCUGGCUGAGGUUGGUUCCUUGCUGUCAUCGUUCAUCUUUUAUGUGUUAAAACAGAAAUAUAUAACAAUUGAAUUAACUGAAUUUGUUAUUUGGUGAUUUGGGAUUUUCUCUUUUUUGUUUCUUUUCUUUUUUUAAAGUAUCUUUUGCACUUUGAUUUUGCAAAAUUUAUAAAUAAAUACUUUGGCCUGCUAAAUUUGACCUUGCUUUCCAGUCCUAUUCUGCCACCCUUUUUCUUUGCUUCAUUACAUCUGUUGCUUCUUGUUGGCAACUCUUGUGUGUGUAUGAGUGUCUGUUUUGUUUUCCUUUUUUUUCAUUUGAUUCACACCCCACAAAAUAGUAAAAAUGUACACCAUAUGCAACCAAAAUAAGGGAGAAAUUAAAGGAGAAAACUUUGAUCCUUGCUUUUAUUUGCCCCCCUUUUCUCUCUUCCUUUUUGCUGUUCUGAUAGUGAAAAAGGAAAAAAAAAAAAAAAAGUUAAAUGAUGCUGGUUGAGACUUUAGACAACAAAAGGUAAAUAUUCAACCACAAUCUUAAUUAAUUACAUUGUAAAUUAAAGAUCUGGACCAACAAUUCUUUCUGUUUUUUCAUGUUUACUUUUGCAUUAGAUGGAGAGAAUGACAAGUAGCUGCAAAAUGAUAUUAAAGUUGAAAUAAUGAACCAAGAAAAAAUAAUUAAAAAUAAUAGUGGGUUUGGAAACAAAGGUAAGACAAAGAUGAAUAGAACACAAACCUAACAAUGUAGGACAUGCAAAAGCAAAACCACUAUUAUAAAGUUUAUUUUUCUAUCUUUCAUUUCUAUAUUACAUGAAUCUCCUAAAAGGAACUGAAAUGCCAACUUUACCCAGAUAAUUCAAACUUCAAACUCUACAUGCCAAAUUGAUGGGAACCUAUUUGGCAUAUGCAUAACAUGCUAGACAAAAGAAAGUAAAUGUCCUUGCACCAGAACUAAAACCUCUCUAAGGCAAGAGGUUAUUACAUGGUCCUGAUUCACUACGUCAUCAAAAAAACUCAUCCGAUAAAAUGAUGAUAUUUAAUCUCAUUGGAUGAGUUUUGUGAUGACGUGCUGGAUCAAGUUCAUAUAAUAAUUUCUCCUCUGACUAUUAUUGCACUACCCAUGAAGGAAUUUAAAGUUCAUCUGGGCAGGGCAGCUAUAUCAGUGAACCACUAGAAAUAGUGUCUCAGAAAUGGACUGACAUUGAAGAGCUUCCCAAGUACAAUGAUCUAGAAAUAAGUAGCCCAUUUGACAAGUUUAAGGAUGCAUGCUUGAAGAGAGUUUGCAUUCUCUGUUAUUUUCGUUACUUUCUGUUAUGUUACACUACGUGAGGAUGAAUUUGAAUAUAUUCAUUAAUUAGAGAUGCAGAUUACAUGAAAAUCAAUCAAGAGAAAGGACUGGUUGCAGUUGCAGGUAAGAACGUAAGGGAAAAAUCAGAAUGUAUAAGCUAGAUGAAGUGGAUUAAACACCUGAACAUAGAUCCUGACGAUGACCAUGAGAUUCGUCUUAAGUCGCAACUUUAGAAAGGAAAUUUAACCCAUCUGCGGAGGUUUGUUUUUAUACUAGAUGCUAUUUUUUGGUAGGACAGAAACACCCUGAAAAAGGCCAGUACGUGCGAUUGGAAAGAAAGAGUCAUGGGGAAGUCCUUACUAGAGUAGAUCACAGUGACAGAGUGAAGCCUUAAUUGUCCUCGUGGUAGCUUUCUCCUUGAGAGUGCAUCAGGCUGACCAGUUUAUCCCUCUCAAAAACGUCAGGGGCUCUGAAAAUCUGAACCUGUGCAAGCCCCUUAAUUUAUUAGAAUGUUUUUAAGAUUGCCAUUAAGUUAUAGUAAUUGAUAUUUGAGAAAGAAUGAUUUAAGGACAGGGUGGAAGCAAAAUUGCAUGUUAAAUAUUGAAAUCUGCAAGGACAGACGAAUAGCUUGUUAAGAGCAGCCUCCAAAAUAUUCUCUCUGUUCCAAUAAGAAAUUUUGUUUCUUUUUCCUUGGAAAAAGAUAAAGGGAGAGACCAAUACGCUCUGGAAAUUUUAUGGCGCAGCCUAAAUGGAAACUUGACACAACCUGUUCCUCUUCCUCAUCAUUUGGUUGUCCCUCCUGGAAUAAAAUGAUGAAAAUUUGUAAGUUUCGGGGAAAAUUAAGCAUUUCCAAUGUAUGGUGUUGUUCGGUAUCUUGCCAUGUUUUGAUGUUUUCCAAAGAAAGGUACGUACUCAAGGCAUACUUGUCCAGGAUAUGGAGAAGUGGAAACCAUCAUCCAACUUUUGAAUUCUACACCUGGUGUAUAGAACGCAAGGAUAGAAAAAUAUAUAUGAAUGUUUUAUUUUUUAGAAUUUGAUGAUUGGAACAUAUUUAAUUAAUUAAAAUUAAUAAAUAUAAAAUAUAAAGACUUUGAGGAUUAGUUUAUAUAGCAAAAACAUUCGCUCUUAAAACUUAAAACUAAAAGAGUCAUCUCUUUUGUAUUAAAUAAUUUUUUACUUUUUUGUCUACUUGCUUGUUGGUGUUUUCAUAAAUUAAAAAAUAAUAAAUAUAAAUCAAUAAUGUAUUAUAAGUGGAAAAUAGAUAAAAAAAAUUUUUGAUAAUAGAAUGACCUUAGGUAUGUGGUGUCUGGUUAUUUUCGAAAGCAAGUCUUAAAAGUGGACAAGGUAAUCAAGUCACCAGCAAAAUGUGUUGGUGAAGUUUGGGACACUGAAAGGGCUGAAGCAAUUGCACUCCUUCAUGGGGGAUUGUGGGCUAUACUUAUGGUCAUUGGUGAUUCAAAGCUGGUUAUUCAGAAUCUAUGAAAUACAGGGCCAAAUUCUUGCAAAGAUCCAUCAAUUACUGUAUGAGGACAUUAUCAACUCUGCCCAAGGCUUUCAGGAAGUUGUUUUUACUCUCAUGUUAAUAAGGAAAUGGAACCAAGUGGCUCAUCAUCAUUUUCUUUUUAGCCAAGAGAGCUAUCACAUUACAAGUUGAACAUUUAUGAUUAUACUAUUUGCACUAAAUAUCGAGAACCAACUUCUUUCUUUUAGAUGGUAUUUGUAAUUAAUAUUAAUUAAAGUUAGGUUUAGCUUUUUUUCCCUCUUUCAUGAGGUUGAGGUUGUAUUUAUUUUUUUCUUUUUAUCUAUACUUUUUUGUUUUAUGCUAAAAGGGAUGUCAGCCUAAUUGAGAUUUCUAUUACCAAUCUUAUUCAGAAAAAGAAAUUUAUAACUGCAAUUGGAAUAUAUCUAAACAAUUCAAAAGGGCUUGAGAGCAGUUUUGAUAGUAUAAAAUACUGAGAAGAUCUCUGCUGUUUAAACUGUAAUUUGUCAUCCUAAUUUAUGUAUUUCAAAUCUAGAGUAUAUAUAUGCAAUUUUUAUGUAAAUAAGAGAAAAAAGAAGAAAGGAACACCCUUUUAAUUGGGCAAUGGGUUCCAUGUCUAAGUUAAGAAUGUAUUUAUGGAUUAGUAUAGGAAAAUGCUCAAGAGUUUUGAGCCAAAAGUUGAAGGUUCCAAAUGAUCUGAGGCCCAAAUCAGGUGCUAGGUUUAGAUAAUUUGUUUUAAUAGAGUUCAUCAAGGCAUGUCCUUUCUUAUCAGAAAAAAAAUACACAUAUUCUGAUCCUUUAUUCUAAAUUAUAAAAUUAAAAAAAGAAAAAAGAAAAGAAUGAAAGUCUUUCAGAAAUGUGCCCCUACUUGGGUAAGCAAUUUUCAGUUUGAACAUUAAAGGCUCAACUGAGCAUCAGUGUCACAAAAUGGACCUCAACUGAAGUGGAAGUUGAAGAAGGACAAGAAGAAAUUUAAAGCAACUUUUUGCUAACCUAUUUAUUGCUCUAUAAUAUUUACAUAUCUAACCAAUUAAUUGCUCUACUCUAACUUACUGAUUCAAGCUUCCUUGAUUGAGGUGGUGGAUUUACACAAGCUUGUUGAUUUGUCCACUCUUAAGGCUACACGAUUCAAUCAAACAACAUGACACAACACACGUAAUUAAAUGAUUUUGAAUUUAUGAUAAAUAGGUAUGGAGUAUAAACAUGUUAAAUUUAUAUUAGAGUUUGAUGUUAUGAUAUAAUUAAUUAAACAAAUCAAUAUUUGAAUUAGUAAUUUUUAUAUUAUAUACUUGAUAUGACACGACACGAAUUGUCAGCUCUAAAUUACUAUGAAGAAGUCAAAGUUUGGUCCGCUGAUGCAGGUGUGCAUUUGAAAGUGAGAUUCUGACCAUCUAAAACUUGUACGUAAUCACCUCUUGCGUAAUCAUCUUUUUGCAUAAGUCCAAAAAUAAUUUACAUUAAUAAAAUUACUAAAUUCUAUUAAAUUAAGUUAUUUCAUUAAUUCGGCCAUUUUAAUUAUGUAUUUUAUUAAUUUUUUCUAUUUAGUAUUUAAAUAUCUUUUAUAGCAGUGUUUCAAAGUAGAAUGUUUUGAUUAUUUAGAGUCUCUUCUUUAAUCUUUAAUAAGGUUUAGGUUAAUAUUAGCUAUAUCACGAACAUGCCUAUUUAACUUUAACACAUUAAAUUGUUGGAUUAAAGCUUCCAUAGGCAUUCAUGCUGUUCUUAAUCUCUAUAGGUUAAAACCAAAUUGGUUCCCUAAUGAAGUUCCUUUAACCUAUGUCAUAGAUUAGAACAUAAUUUCUUUUUUAAAUUGAUAAUCAAGCAUAAAUACUCUCACAUAGAUGAUGAGAGACUAGUGAUAAUUGAGCAAUCAUUAUAAAAUUACAAAAUAGAAUUGUAUGUUCUAUGAUGAUUGAUUCUAAUAGUUUACAAAAUAGAAUUCACGUGUGUGGUACACGAACCAUCGUGAUUGAUUGCGGCUUCUGACUUCUUAUCAAGUGAUUGUAGGUUUUCAAACGUUUUUCAGCCACAAUCUUUUUGAAUGUUCUACGAAAAUAACUAUAAAUGACUGUAAAUAUGAAUGUAAAUACUGAAAUAAUUGUAAGAAUCCCUCUUGUUUUGUUUUGUUACAUUUUUACGCUUUCAUACUAAACUACUUGAAGUGACCCAUGUUUUAGUAGAAGAAUUAGUGGACCAGUGGAUCAGUGAAGUCUGAUUUGAGUGGAGAUGUUAAUUUCAUCAUUUGAAAUAAUAACCACGUGUCAUGAAGUCCUUCAUUAUUUACUUGUUAUGACAAAGACUAGCAAUUUACUCAUGCAUAAUUAUUUUAUUAACCUUACAUUUAAAAUUUAAUAUUUAAUAUUAUAUAUAAUUUAAUUUAUAAUUAUAGUAGUAUAAAAAUAAAUUUUAUUUUAAUUUUAUGAUAUUUUUAUUUACAUCUAUAUUAGCCUUUUAUAAAAUAAUCAUAUGAUAUAUUUUUAUGAGAUUUCUAUAUAUAUUAUAUGCUAAGAUAAAUAAAUAUGGAAAGUAUAUAUAUUUAUCAAUUUUAAAUUUUUAUAUAUUUCAUUGCAAUUAUUCAAAAUCUACUACUUUCUAUUGAGUCAUUUCAUGAAAUUUUUACAUAAUCUUUUAUUGGUUGUGUCACGACCCGAUCUAUGGGCCCGUGACCGGCAUUAGGGAAUGGAUAGGCUUAAGGUCACCGAAUCCCGUAGUAAGCCUUACUAACAGAUAAUUCAAUAAAAUACUUAUAAAAAUAUAAUAUUAAUCAUGACUGACAUGUCAUAUAUAAAUCUAACUCGUCUGUGAUAACAUCAUAACAAAUCAAAAUAUUCUAUUGCAGAGUAUAAAAUAACAAAAAAUAUGAAAGUAUAGAUUAUUUACAAUAAGCUCGAUGAAGAAAGAAGUCGGGUUGUCAAAAUACAGGAUGGCAAAGAACUCUAACUGUCACCUGAAAAAUAAAAUUGAAACUGUCAGUCUCGAGAGUGAGUUAAAAUCAAAUAAUCCUGUAACUAUUGCAGUCUCCUCAAUAAAAUAAUAUUUAUUAACUCAAUAUAUUAUGCCAUUGUAUAUCAAUUACGAGUCACACCAUAAUUUAGAAAUAAUAUACAUUUUAAUACUUAUGGGACGAGUGACUCAACAAAACCCUAACACAAAUCGCAGUCUUUCGACUCUCUUAUUCCAAUAGGUCUGACGCCUAGAGAGCGAAGUUCAACUAGGGUCCUUACAUCCAGCCUGGACACUUCAUUCCCAACUAAGCCAAGGCCUAGAGAGCAUUGCUUGACCAGGAUCCUUUCUCUGACAGUCAAACUUUCAUAGCCCAGAGAGUUAUACUCGACCAGAGCAAAUCCAAACAUAACAUUAUUAACUGUCCUUGAUUAUUACCAGUGUGCACGCGGUCCUGAUGCAGCUCAUCAGGUGGCAUGUUCUACUAUAGCCUCAUUGUCACAAUCGUAACAUAAAUAUAAUAAUCAUAAACUAACAUCAUUAUUCAAUAACAUACUGAAAUUAAGGAUUCAAAAUCUCGGGUAAAUUAAGCAUGCAAUUUAUAUAUAGAAUUAAUAAUAAUAGUAUUGAAAGAACAUUAAUUAUGAUUUCGAAAAUAAUGAGAUAAUUUUACAGAUAAUAACGUUAAUAUUAUUUAUGGUAAUUGUUAAUUAAAUGAAAUUAUUUGUAAUACGAUACUGAUAAUCAUAUUACACAUAAAUCACUAAAACAUUGCAUCAAAUUCAAACAAUGCCAAUAGUGCAGCGAUUAUAUGACUUUAAUUCACAGUUCUGUCGUACCCCUCAGUUCACUACUACACCUCGGGGGGAGCUGGCGGGAAGGAUGGGUUAUCUAUUCACGAAAAUAUUCAGUUAAUAGACAUUCUUAAAUUUUUUCUAGGCAUAGACUCCUAGAUUAAACUGCCUAAAAUUAUUUUAGACUCGAGAAUUCUGUCAAAAAUUCGACAGAACCUCCCAUAAAUUAUAAACAUUUACCCCCCUAUAAAACGGGUCCAGAACCUACCAAAUAUACUUUAAAUCUACUGUGAUUAAUUAACGGUAGUCGGGCAACUAAAACUAAAUUAAUUUUUCUAAUUCUGCAACACAUUGCAAUCACAAAUAAUUUUUAAAUUAUCCAUCACUGAUAAUAAAUAGCCACAAUAUUAUUUUAAAAUUAUGACAUAAUUUUUAAGGUCUAAAUAAAAUUAUACCGAAUCAAAAUUGCAAUGUUUCACGCGUCCGAAAAGCACCGGGUCCGGAAGCCAGUCUUGCCAACAGUGUCGGAAUUCGAAUCCUGAAGCGUCUACGCGAAGCUUGAGUUGCAGGGAGUCCGAAGAUAUAAGAGCUUCGGCCGGAAAAUGGCCGGAAGGCACCAUAUCGGGGCCGGAAAAGUGAUUCUCCGGUGAAGCUUCUCGAGGCUGCCGGCGACGGAUUUCACUGCAAGGAGGGUCGUUUUCGGGGUUUUCAAGGGUGGGGAGUCCGAAUCCGGUGUCGGAUUUCAGAAAGGAUGUUGGUAGGAGGCCGAACCGACGAUGGCAGCCUCUUUGUCCCUUGUCAGCGUCAGUGGAAGGGAGAGAGGAGGAGAAGGGGCUGCUGGACGGCAGCGGUGAGCUGGGCGGUAUGCAAGCAGUAAGGGGGAGGAGGUGGUCGAUGGGGAGAGGGAGAAGGAAGAGAGAGAGCCGACGUAAGGGAGGGAAGGAGAAGGAAGGGAGGUAGGAAAAGAGGAGAGAGGAGGGGAGAGGAAAGAAAAAUGGGAAGGCGAAUUUUUUAUUGUUAUUAUUAUUAUUAUUAUUAUUAUUUUAUUAUUUUAUUUUUUUUAUUAUUUUAUUAUUUUUUUUUUUUUAAUUUUGGGUAUUACAGGUUGCUUCAGUAUAUUGAGACCGGUAAGAAUUUUUCUUAGUAUUAGUGUAAGUAUUGCAGCUUUUUUUUAUAAUAUAAUAGCUGUGUAAAUUAAAUAAAAACAAUAAUAAAGUAUAAUAUUAAAAUAAUAUAAUUUAAGAGAAGCAUAAUAACGCUCAAAUAUAAUUAAUAAAAAAUAAAUUAGCAUGUCUAUAUAUAUCUCGAAAUAUUUAAUAUUUUAAAAAUAUUAAAUUAAUAAUGUACCACUAGAAAAAAAUUAAAUAAAAAUUAAAAUUUAUAUUAUUAUAAUAAAAAAUAAGAACCCAACCAUAUUCAAUAUAUAGACCUUCAUAAGAACAAUAUUAAAUAAUUUAUUUCUUUUUUUUUUAAUACAUAUACAUAACAAAAUAAAAAAAUAAUAAUAGGUUGUAUUGACAAGUGGAUCAAUAUUUUUUAUGGAAAAAAAAAAAUUGAUCCAAAAACAUGUUGUAGAAACAUGAGGAAAAAAUUAAAUUAAGUGCUUUUUCUGUUAUAUAACUAGUUACUUUGAAUGAUUUUGUUGAUGUUUAAUUGAUGUUUCGUUUAUAUUUGGUUGAUUUUUGUAAAUAUUUUUUAUUGAAAUAAAAAUAUUAUUCACUUGCUUAAGAAAAAGGGAUUCGUGUAAACGACAUCUUAACAAGCUUUGAUACCUUAGCAAGCAGCAAAUGGAAACCCAUUGUUGGUACUUUGCAGCUCUUUUGCUCAAGUUCUCCUCUUUCAUUAUCAUAUGUUUACUUGUAGAAUUCUUUUUUAUAUUUUUGUUAAAAGAAAAAUAAAAUCUUUUCAUUUUUAUAAAAAAUACGUAAAACUUGUUAUUAAAUAAAAAAAAUCUUAAUAUUUUAUUUAACUAAUAUUUUAAAUUUAAAAAUUAAAUUUAAAAUAAAAAAAAAAAACCGAAAACUCUUCAUUUUCAUUUAAAUUCUUGUAAAGUUUAAUUAUAAUUUAAAAAUUAUGAAAAAAAGUGUUUUUUAAUUUUAAUUUUAGGAAAAAGACAAAUAAAUACAAUUUUUUGUGUUUAUUUAAAAAUCUUCUAAAAAGUUCACCUAAUUUUUUACAAAUAAACCCGUCCAAAGUUUUGGUGCAGUCACGAAUCUUCCAAAUUAUUCUAUUCAAAACAAGAAAAAAAAAGAAGAAAAAGGACUUGUUUUAGUGGAUCACGAAGCUGUGGAAUUUGCAUGUUAUUAUGGGAAUAUUGCUCGGCCACAAACCCUAGUCGGCUGAUUUGAACAGUGGAAUGGAAAUUCAUGUCUUCUAUUUAUGCCAAUACAAUACAAAUUGAUUUUUGCUUUCUGUCAGACAAAUUGGGAUUUCUUCGAUUAAUUAAAAACAGUUUAGUUUAGUUUCUUGAGUUACGAAAACUGCUUUGGGGGAAAAACAUGUAAAUUAAAAACAGUUUAUGAAAGAACAAAAAACCAACGUAUUAGAUUUACAAAAUAAAAAUCAAUAUGUUAAAUAAAACAUCCAUUUAUUUAAAUUUAUUCAAUAAAAAAAAUUUAAAAACUUACUUCUCAAACAUCCAAUGACAAUCCAAACAAGCCCUUAAACAUAUUUAAUACUCGAAAUUACAUUAAAUUGAAUUAAACAUAUAGUAUUUUAUUGUAAAAGAAAUGAGUCUAAAGAGUUUAAUGCAUAAUGAAUAAUAUAACAUCAAAAUCACUCUUUUCUAAGAAGCUUUAUUUUUUUAGAUAUUCCGAUUUGUAUUCCUCUAGUAAAAUUCAAAAUAUAUACCUCUUUUCUUUUAUAAAAUCUUUUUAUUUCUUUUUUUUUAAAGUGAUUUUAUGUACGGUUUUUAUUAUCAAUAAAAAUUGGUCAAUGAUUUUUUUUGUCAAAAACUUUAAAUGCAAGGGAUGAGGUAUAUAUCGUGCACAUUAAGCAUAAAGAAAAUAUGUCUCAAUUAGAGGAGAGUACGAUCAAAUCAAGCACAAAAAUGUUGAAUCUUUCCUUGGCAUUUUAGCAAAUAUGAUGAUGACAAAAAAACACAUCCUUCCAAAAAUAAAAAUAAGAAGAACAAGGAAAACGAAAUCAUGGGUAUUCCUUGUUUCGUAANNNNNNNNNNNNNNNNNNNNNNNNNNNNNNNNNNNNNNNNNNNNNNNNNNNNNNNNNNNNNNNNNNNNNNNNNNNNNNNNNNNNNNNNNNNNNNNNNNNNNNNNNNNNNNNNNNNNNNNNNNNNNNNNNNNNNNNNNNNNNNNNNNNNNNNNNNNNNNNNNNNNNNNNNNNNNNNNNNNNNNNNNNNNNNNNNNNNNNNNNNNNNNNNNNNNNNNNNNNNNNNNNNNNNNNNNNNNNNNNNNNNNNNNNNNNNNNNNNNNNNNNNNNNNNNNNNNNNNNNNNNNNNNNNNNNNNNNNNNNNNNNNNNNNNNNNNNNNNNNNNNNNNNNNNNNNNNNNNNNCGUAAAAUGGACUAUUUUCAAUUUUAUUUCUCUUUUUUUUGUUAAUCAUCAUUCAUACUUUAUUUAUUAUUUUAUCAUAUGGGUCAGAAUAUAUAUUAUAAUAUAUAUAUAAAAGUGUGAAAAAAAUGAAAUAAUCUUAUGAUUAGUAUUGUUAAAAUUGGUUAAUUUGAUUUUUUUUAGAUAAAAUACAAAAGUUUCAAUAAGAAGAUGAGUAGUUUGAAUUGAAUGAAAUAAAUUCACCAGUAAUAAAUUUGCAGUACAAGUAAUAUAUCCAAUAUCUAUUCUGGGGCUUAACUCGAUAAUGGUGAUGUUGAAUCAAUCUAUUAUCAUUACUUUUUUUGUUUGUUUUAGUUUACCCGGAAGUACUCUUUUGAGCAAGAGUUUGUCUGUCUAACAUCAAGUUUUUCUGGGAUUUGUAGUGUUGAUGUUCUUGCUCUUGCUUUUGCUUUGAUAGAAUGCAAAUAAAGUAUUUGAUAGAAUGACCCAUAGAAUGAGAUUUAUGUGUUGAAAUCAAAAUUUACCAUUUUUUACAUGGUGAGUCGGCCUAUUUUUACUUACUCAAUUUUUCUAUUAUUAUUUUAAUUAUUACUGAUGCUACGUCACCAAAGUUUAUUGGAUUUUUUUCUAGACAGUAUUAUUUGAAAAAGAUUAACAAGGUUAAGUAUUAUUUUGUAAAUUUUGAAGAAUUAGAUAAAAUUAUUAAAGAGUUAAAAAGUGAGUAAUUAGGUAAAAAUAUUGUUAAUAAAUAUAAGUGAUAAAUCUCACAAUUAAAUCUACUGAGGAUUUGAAAGUUUCUGCCUACCAAAUAUAGGCCGGGAAUAAUUGUUAUAUAGCUAUUAAUGAAAUAAUCUUCUUUUAUAAGAAAAAUAGGAGUUUACAUACUUAUUCCAUUUUUACUUACAUAUUUUGGUUUUUGUAUUUUUUUUUCUCUUUUUUCCCUACUCUUGUUUGUUUUUUUUUUUUUCCAAAGGCAGAAUUGAAUUAAUAAAAGGCCCGAAAGGGCAAAGGGUACACGAAGGCUUGUUUGGCAACAUUGUUGGCAGGGACGUUAAGAGUCCUACUAAAAAAUUUAAACUGAACCUGAUUAAAAAACUACCUACCUUUUAGAACGUGGAUAUCUUCCAUUAAGCUGGCUGUAUCCCAACCCAUAAUCAUUAAACUAUUGGCACAGUUGAUAACCAGGGAUGACGGUAAGGCGGAUAUUUAUGGGUAUUUCAUCCGAUCGAAUCCUAUUAUAUAGGUGAAUACAGAUAUAGGAUAUCUGCUACUUGUUUAUCUAAACGGAUAUCUUGUAGGGUACUCACGAAUAUCCUAUCUUAUUAUACCCGUUAAGAAUAUUUUUUUAUCAUUUUAUUCUCUAUAAAUAUUGAACCUUAAACAUUUUAUAAAAAAAAGUCAUUCUACCACUAAGUCAUUUAAUAUUUUUUGUUAAAGUAACGUAUAUAUUAAUUUUUUUAUUAAUUUUAUUAUUAAUGAAAAUCAAAUUUUACUUAUUGUCAAAAGAGUAUAUAUCAUUUAGAAAAUAUUAUUAUCAAUUUCCAAUCUAUUAACAUUUUAAAUUUAUAAUUUUGUAGUGUAAUAUGAUAUUUGAUUAUUUAUAUAUAUACAUAUAUAUAUAUAUAUAUAUAUAUAUAUAUAUAAUAUUAAAUAAAUAAUAUUUAUUAGUAAUGUAUCUUUUAACUAAUUAAUAUUAUUUUUUUAUUGAUCUCUUUUAAUUAAAUCAACACUACAUCAUUUAUCAUCAUAACUACUUACAGUUUAUUCAUAUAGUAUUGUUAUACUAAGAUAUAAGAGAAUAUUUAUGAAUUCAAGAAAAAAAUCAUUAUAAUGCUCAAUCCAACAUGUUAGCAUUAUUAACUUAUGAUUAUAUAGUGUUAAUAUAACAUUAAUAAUAUUUAUUAAAUAAUCUUAACUAGUUUUAUGUCUUUUAACUAAUUAAUAUGAUAUAAAAAAUCUUACACCAUAUUGUUAUAUAGUAGAAUUUAAGCUUUAACCUUAAACUUUCAAUUUUAAUUAAUAAAUCUCACUUUUACUAUUAAGAUAAAGUAUUAAUAAGUAUAUGUAUUGUGUUAUUAUGUUUAGAAAUAUAUAAAACAAUUUUUUGAAACUUGAAUAUAUUAUACAGUUUAAUUUUUAUUUUUAUAAUAUCAAAACUCAAUAUUUAUAUAAAAAUAGAAAUAUCAUAUAUGAAUUUAAUAAAUAUUUUAUUAAUAAAUUAAAAAAAUAUAUUACAUGUAAUUGAAAGUAAAACUAUGCAGUUUCAAGGUAGUCUACAUAAUUUAAAUAAAAUUACGUAGUUUUGAGUAAAAUUACAUAAUUUUAUAUAUCAAAUUAAACAAAACCUAUCAUAAACUAAACCCUAAUUUUAUUCUCUCUUCUCAUCUCUAACUCACAUAAACUCUCUCAAAGCCUCCACCAACCACCCUCAUAAACCAUCUUCUUCAUGCCGCUGUUGAUGCUGUCCAUGCCGCCUCACGCCGCUGCUGCUGUCUUCCAUGCUGUUGUUGCUGUCUUCCACGCGCUGCUGCUUCCGUCGCCCUUGCCACCGUCAUUGUCAGAUAUUAUUGUAGUUUUAAUAUACUUAUAUGGUGUUUUAGCUAAAUAACAUAUUUUAUUUUUAAGAAACUCUUUUAUCAAAUAAAAUUGAAAAUAAAACUUUAGUGUUUGUUUGGUCUACUUGAGCUUUUAUGAUUUGCUAGAAGCUGAAUGUUUUGGUAAAAUAAAAAUUUAGUGUUAUUAUUAAGCAAGUUGAAAAUUAGUAUUAGUGUUUUAGCUAAAUAAGUGACUUUAGGCUAAUUUUUAUUUGAUUAAGUUCUUGUAUGGAGUCAUGAAAAUGAACUAUAUUAUUAGUUUUUGGAUGAUAGCCUAUUGGCUUUUUUUUUUUUUUUGAUAAAAUGGAAGCCUAUUUGAGCAUGGUUAAUAUGAGCAUUGAAGAAGUUGCAGAAGCUUGUUUAGGAUUAUUUUUCUAUUUGAGAUAUAUUUAGAUCUAUUAUUUAGUAUUUAAGAUGCUAAUUGUGUUUUUUUUUUCAAAUAUGGUAGAUGAGCACUUUAAGAGAGGUGGAAGAAUCACAAGUUGUAAUACAUAUUGUAUUUUAUUUAGUUCUUAUUACUUACAAUAUUGUUUUAAAUUUUAUUGAAUUUAUACUUGGAUUGUAUUACUAUAUUAAACAUUUAAUGUUGAAUAUUUAGACUUGAUUAGUUUAUAUUUUAUAUUUUUAUAUCUUUAUUAAUUUGAAUUAUUAUAAACGGAUAUCCAUUUAAUUACUUUAAUAUUUAUAUAAACGAAUUUUUAACGGAUAGAGUACUCGCUACCUAUUUAAAUAAUCAUAAAAUUUAUUUAACAGUUAUUUAAUUCAAACGGGUUUUAAUCGAGUUUGGAUAAUAUGUGAGUAUUCCUAUGUGGCAACCUGUCCUAAAGAGCGGUCCAACAAGAGCAGAAAGUGAACGCCGGGGCAAAGAUAGAAUGUCUGGACAAGGAGUGGCUUCUGGUAGGCUUCUAGGAUGACAACACUUUAAGCUACAGGGAUAUAUGAAUGAAUCAAAUUGCAUAUCGAAAUGGGGUGAAAAAUGAUUAAUAACAUAUGUGUAAGGAGUUGGAACUAAUCACAUGAGACGCCUUUUGGUUGUUUGGCUAUUGAGUUGUAGGAACUCCAAAGUUAAACGUGCUUAGUUAAGAGAAAUUUCAGAAUGGAGGACCACUUGAGAAGUUCUCGAACCCGCUAAAGGGACAAUACCGUGAGGCCACCGUGGGCCAAAGUGGACAAUAUCUCAUAUGAUAUGGUUCAGGGUCGUUACAUCCUAUUAGGAUUUGGGAUGAGUUCGGAUAAGUAUAGUUUUAAAUGGAUUCGGAUUCAGAUAGCAUUAAUUGAAUGGGUAUCCUAUCCGUUGCGAUCCCUAUUGAUAACAACUUGUGUAUCCCCUUGGAAAGUAACGUUCCACCAUCCUUUAGCAAUAGCCCAUAACAUUCCUUCUCAAAGAGCUAGGCUUUCAAGAAUAACUGGAGAGGUGAUGACGUCAAACAUUCUGCACCAAGAUAAUCCAUUUUGAAGCUGAAAGCCUGAGGCUACCGAACAAUCCUCUAUUGUAAACCGCAGCAUCAAAGUUAACUUUAAUACUGAGAGAAUUAUCUACAGGCGAAGGAGAAGGGGGUUGAUCCCUGAAUCCAUAGUUGACCUUGGGAAUAACUUUCAGUGCUGCUUCAAAUUCUUCAACAUCAGUCAAAGCCUUAAGAGCGACAGCAUUUGCUGUCCAACCUUGAUCAUCAAAGAUGAGGGCGUUCCUCGAUUUCCAAAUUCUCCAGAGGGUGAGGAAUACAAGCUGAAUGCUUUUUUGGGUUUGAUCCAAGCGAGAGAGGUCCUUUACCAUGGAAAUCCAGAACUCUCUAAAAUUAUCCUCAUUAACUCUAGUAGUAUCCAAUCCCAGAGGAGAAAAUCUUCAUACAGCCUGAGCGUACAAACACUUGCUGAAUAAGUGUAGUGUAGAUUCCUCUUUACCACAUCUUAAGCAUUCUAUAUUACAGUGCAUUCUGAUCUUAAGAUUCCUUCCAGCCGGAAAACAUUUUGACAAGGCUUUCCAGAGGAACAUUUUCAGCUUAUUUGCCACUGAUAACUUCUAAAUACUGCCCCAAUCAUCCCAUCUUGGCACUGACGAUGAGGCCCUGCUACUAUACUUUAUCUCGAGCCAUUCAUAAUAGCCCGAUUUCACAAAAUAAGUGCCUGAUUUGUGGUAUUUCCAUAUUAGCCUAUCGGGGCUGUUAGUGAUGCUGAUAGGGAUUCUGAGUAUAUCAUUUACUUGUUUUUUUUUUUUUUUUGGUAAUUGAAUGAUUUUUUGUUGAUAUUUGGUUAAAUUUGAAAUGAGUACACGGUUGAUGUUUGGUUGAAUUUGAUAUGAGUAUAUGGUUGAUGUUUGAUUAAUUUUCAGACCUAUGAAUAUUAUUUUUUUAAAAUUUAUAUUCUGAAAUUUAAAUACAUAAAUGAUUUUUGGAUUUUUUUUUAAUCUUAUGCAAUAUUUUAAUUAGAAUUUAUGGUUGAAAAUAAGAGUCUUUCAACUUUAAUUUCUUGUGAUGUAGCCAUUUUCUAUUUGUGUAGACAAAAUUUGGUAAAAAUAAAUUACAGCGAAAGCUCGAGCAUUAAUUAUUUUAUCUCUAAUGCAACAAUAUUUUUAUUAAAAUUAAUUUGCUUGUUGUUUCACGCAUCUACAUUUUAUAUAUUUAAUAUAAUGUAGUUAAUACUGUAUAUAUAUAUAUAUAUAUAUAUAUACUUUCUAAGAUGACAAAUUUUUAUUUUAAAAACAUUUGGUUGUUCUUUUAUUACUUUAAACAACUUUUGCUUCUUGUUAAAAAAAAAAAAAGGCAACUUUUACUUUUAGUGGUAGACAAAUUUGGGUGUAACUAUUAAAGAUAAGACCUGAUUUUACAAAUAAGCAAGUGGCUGAAAAUCUAGUAUUGUAUGGUAAAGGACCAUACUCAUUUGCUUCAUGCUGUAGCUUUUUCAAAAUGUUCAUAUGCUUAUGAUCUGUGUGAGUGAGGGUAUGAAUGCAAGACUGGUUAAGGACAAAGUACAAUGAUCAGUUUUGUAGCUCAAUUUAGCCACAUGACAUUGUGUUACAGGAAAACAAUAAGACCCUAUAAAAAUAUAGAAAGCACAAAUAAGGCUGUAAAAAUCAGUUUAGCCACUAAUCUCAUGCAGUUUAGAUUAAAAAAUGAGCCUAUUUUUGUAAAAGAAUUCAGCUUAAAAGGGAGAUUUUUGUAAUUUUUCAAAAAUAUAAAUGUUAUGGAUAUUCUAGAAAAGAAAAAAGGGAAAAGUAUAAGAAUCCAUGGGCUGGUUAAUCAUGGAGACAGAAUUGUAGUAGCUAAGGUCAAGAUUGGCUUACCAUUUUCCACAAAAUUGGCAAAAUUAUGAAAAAGGGAAAAAAGUAGUAAAAUAAAAGAAAAUUGUGGAUAAUAUAAAGAAAUGAAUGUGUGAUAAAAUAAAUAAAUAAAUAAUUAAAAAGAGGAAGUUAGAAAAUAAAAUAAAAAAGGAAUAUAGAAAUGGGGACCAUACCACCCACUUAAUUUGUAAAUAUGCAAAGAGUAGGGCUUUGGGGGCAGCAGUUGAUGAUGAUUAAGACUUUCCAGCUGUGACUUCACCUGCUACAUGGGAACCAAAGCAGAAUGUUCCUUUUUCUUUUCUUUUCUUUUUUAUAAUGUUCUGUUAGAAGAUAUGCAUGAAUUUAACUUUUGUUUAUCAAANNNNNNNNNNNNNNNNNNNNNNNNNNNNNNNNNNNNNNNNNNNNNNNNNNNNNNNNNNNNNNNNNNNNNNNNNNNNNNNNNNNNNNNNNNNNNNNNNNNNNNNNNNNNNNNNNNNNNNNNNNNNNNNNNNNNNNNNNNNNNNNNNNNNNNNNNNNNNNNNNNNNNNNNNNNNNNNNNNNNNNNNNNNNNNNNNNNNNNNNNNNNNNNNNNNNNNNNNNNNNNNNNNNNNNNNNNNNNNNNNNNNNNNNNNNNNNNNNNNNNNNNNNNNNNNNNNNNNNNNNNNNNNNNNNNNNNNNNNNNNNNNNNNNNNNNNNNNNNNNNNNNNNNNNNNNNNNNNNNNNNNNNNNNNNNNNNNNNNNNNNNNNNNNNNNNNNNNNNNNNNNNNNNNNNNNNNNNNNNNNNNNNNNNNNNNNNNNNNNNNNNNNNNNNNNNNNNNNNNNNNNNNNNNNNNNNNNNNNNNNNNNNNNNNNNNNNNNNNNNNNNNNNNNNNNNNNNNNNNNNNNNNNNNNNNNNNNNNNNNNNNNNNNNNNNNNNNNNNNNNNNNNNNNNNNNNNNNNNNNNNNNNNNNNNNNNNNNNNNNNNNNNNNNNNNNNNNNNNNNNNNNNNNNNNNNNNNNNNNNNNNNNNNNNGUCAAUUUCUUUUUAGUAUUAAUAACUGAAUAUUUUUUUUAGUUCUAAUUAUGGAUAAUGUUAUUACUUUGAUAAAACAACAGUUAUAUUUAUUGCAUAUUGUUAUUUCGAUAAGGAUCUUCCCUAACCCGAUCUUCCAAUGACUGCAUAACCACCUUAACCGCUGGACUUGUGACCGGACCUGUGGAUUUAUGUUAUGGCAUUUUCACUCUUUAGUCAAGAUCGGAGAAAGAGCAACCAAUCUCUUAAGAGCAUGUAAAAAGCCCAUCCUUUCUUGUGGGGUGAUCGAGAGAUGGAUUUUAUAGAGGAGUAUGGUCAUUGAACUCUUUUGAUUCGCCAGUAACGGUUCCUUACAUCAAGUCAAAUAACGGAGAUUCUCCAGGACCGAUCGAUUUAGCACAAGCAUAAUCCAUUAGAACGAGACGGCUUAAAUACGUGUUGUGAUUGUUCGUGACUGGACACUCAAACGGGGUUCAGAGGCAAGCGAGAAAGCGCAUAGCAGCACAAAAAAACAAAGACCUUCACGUGACGACCACGCGCGACGACCUCUCCUUACCUGGGCAGUUUGAAUGGGCAGAAGAUAGAACUCCAUGAAGGCACUAUAUAACUCAAUAUCUAUUAGAGGGCUAUUGGUGAAUUUUUUUUUUUUUUUAGAAUAGACUCUGAGAUAGAGGAGACUUUAAGGAGAUUUGGCUCAAGAGAAGCAAACGAAAGAUCGGAGUAGGCAUAAGCAUAAAAGGUAUUGGGAAUAAAUCUCGUCGUUAAUUCGUUAAUCUUAAUUCCUAAAUACUUAAUAUUUAAAAUUAAUAAAAUGAAUAUUCAUUUUAAAUUUAAACAAAUAUUUAAAUAUUAAAUAAAAAAUGAAUAUUAAUAUUAUUAAAUAAAAAAGAUUGAAAUUAAUAUUAAAUAAAAUUAAUUAAACUAAUAUUAAAUAUAAAUAAAUAAAUAAAUAAAGAAAAUUUCAAUUUAAUUAAAAAUUUUCUUUCAUUUUAAAAGUUUCAUUUAAAUUGAAAAUACCAUUAAUAAUAUUUUUAAAUCUUAUAUAACUAGUUAUUCACUCAUGCGUUGUAUGACUAUGAUUAUUAUUUUAAUUAUAAAAUUAAAUUUAUAGAUAUAAUUUAAUAAGAUUUUUAAUAUUUAAUAUUAAUUUAUAAUAUUUAAAAAUAAUAAUAAGUUAACUAUUGUUAAAUUUCUUUUAUUCUUUUUAAAGAUUUUAAGAUUUUAGUAGUGUAAUAUAACAAUUAUCUUUAAAAUAUUUAUUAAUUAAUAUUAGUAUUAUAUAAAUUAGUACUAUCAAUAUAGUUGAUAUUACUAUUUUUAAAGUUAAAAUUUACUAUAUAAUUAAAAAAUUAAUUUAUUAUUAAAAAUAUGAUUUAAAAUAUAAUAUUUUAAAAUUUAAAUUAUUAUUUAAUUAAAAAUUAAUUUAUUAAUUAAUAUAAUAUUAAAAAUAAUUAAUAUGCUAUUUUUUAUAAUAGAAUUAGUAUUAUUAUAUGAUUAGAAAAUUAUUUAUUAAUGAAUAUAAUAUUAAAAUAUAAUUUAUAUGUUAUUUUUUAGAAUUAGAAUCAAUAUAUAAUUAAAAAUAUAAUUUAUUAAUCAAUAAAUUAAAUCUCAUGCGUUAAAAAUAAAUAUAUAUACUAAAAUAAAAAAUUUAUAUAUCAANNNNNNNNNNNNNNNNNNNNNNNNNNNNNNNNNNNNNNNNNNNNNNNNNNNNNNNNNNNNNNNNNNNNNNNNNNNNNNNNNNNNNNNNNNNNNNNNNNNNNNNNNNNNNNNNNNNNNNNNNNNNNNNNNNNNNNNNNNNNNNNNNNNNNNNNNNNNNNNNNNNNNNNNNNNNNNNNNNNNNNNNNNNNNNNNNNNNNNNNNNNNNNNNNNNNNNNNNNNNNNNNNNNNNNNNNNNNNNNNNNNNNNNNNNNNNNNNNNNNNNNNNNNNNNNNNNNNNNNNNNNNNNNNNNNNNNNNNNNNNNNNNNNNNNNNNNNNNNNNNNNNNNNNNNNNNNNNNNNNNNNNNNNNNNNNNNNNNNNUUUUUCUAAAACUAGCAUUUGUUAUCCCUUAUAUUUAUAUAUUGUUCCACAAAGUAGUGUUUGUUAGUCACUUAUUAGUUCAAAAUAUAGGAAGUUGGACAAAGAGCCGAUUUUUUUUUUUUUUUAUCAAGGAUUAAAGUAUUUACAAUAUAUAUAUAUAUAUAUAUAUAAUUAACUGCAAUUUGCAUGAGGGAUAAAAAAAAAUAAUUGUAAAAAAUAUAUAACGACAGAAACACAUUAUAAAACAAACCUCAGGGAAGUAUUUAUAAUUAUUUUUUUCUAAAAAAACUCAAUAAAAUUUAGUAAUAUAUUUAACAAAAUAUACAUAUAAAAAUGUCAUUUCCCAGUACCAUUUGAACAAUUCAAACAUAAAUAUCAUAGAAAGAAAACUUCAAAUUCUUUUUGUCCACUUAAUGUAAAAAAAGAAAAAGAAAAAAAAGAUUAUAUUCCAUCCCUGUCAAUUCUAAAGCACAUACAUUUGGGUUAUUCCUGAGAUAAAGAAUUUGAGGAUAGGAAAUAUUCUUUUUAGAUCCUUGUUCAAUUGUUUUUCUUCCAUUAUUCCUUGCAAGCAACUCAUUGCACCUUCUCCAUUUUAAAGUAUUCUUUAAUAUUUAUGUUGUACAGCUUGCUAAUCAGACUAAAUCAACCAUAUAUGAAAUCUUGGAUUAUAUUGAUUCUGAUACUUCAUUCAAUCGCUUAAUUCUUACUCCUCAUUUUCUUUUUUUAAGUUUUCUUUAGAUAGGACACAUUGUGAGUUGCUCAAUAAUAGAUGGAGGCUUGUAUUAUUCUUCUUGGACUUUCCACUUUUCAAAGAAUGUACAGAAAGAAUUAAGCACUAUUAAAGAGAGAUAUCUGACAGCCACUAACACCCCAGAAGAAUUCAAUCAGAACUUCAGACGUAAUUGUUUACCUAAUUACCGUAGAGGUAAAGAUCAUAAUGUGUGUAUGUUUGUAUGUGUGUGUAUAUAUAUAUAUAAAAGCAAACUGAAGCCACGUUUGAAUAGUGAGUUGUUGCAGGAAUGGAAAUGGCUGGUAGGAGAAAGACAGAAGUAAGAUUUUGUGACAGAAAAAUGCUUGAUUUUAUUGCUAACAAUCUGAGUGCACAAACUACAAGAAGCUCCAAGAAACAAUUCCUCACAAUAAAUAGAGAAAGCCCCAAUCAAACAAAGGCUGUACCCUAUAAUUACACUGAUUAACAAAUUUGAGAUGAAUAAAUAAAAAACAAUAAUUUAAAAACGGACAUUUCUAAGUCCAAUCCUCCAUCUCUCUCUAAUCUCACUUCCAAAUUUUGAUUUGGAGAAGUAAAUUGUUUAAGCCAUUCCUACUUGAACAAAACAAGAUCAUGAGGUGCAAAAUGGCCAUCUUAGAAAUUGAUGCAGUCUGGCCUGAAUUAUUGAUGUUAUAGCUCAUUGAUGCAAAAUUCAGAUCCUUAUUGAAUGAACUUGGACAAGAAGCUUGAUAUUCACAUCUUUCACUCUUGGAGCUUUCGUUUAUUACUUUGUUGAAACUAAAAUCUGUAAAAUGAUAAUGAGCACAAAUGAGAUUUUAUACAUUAAGAUAAACUGUAUGAUCUAUACACUUUGUAAUAAAA
rnacentral:lncRNA from 1 species